CUGACGCAUUUGCUAAGACACUUCUGCAUUUCAUUGGCGUAUAUCGGUCUGCCAAGUUGGGUGAUUACGGUCGCGAAAUAAAUCUAUUGAUACACAAUUCAUCGAUCUAUCACUGAUAGUCAAGUUAUCUAUCACGGGAAUAUUAAAUAGUUUUGAUGACUGCGUAAUUAAUGUUGUGUUUUUCCAGUAGCAGACGUAAAAAAUCAGCUACAUACAUUUACCGAGAAAAUAUCGUAGACCAGCAGGGAGCAUUCGAGAGAUUUUUAAUUUAAUUCCGAUGCCACUUUCGACACGGGAAUGCUGGAAAAUGAUUCUAUCUUGCUGCACUUUUGCUCAUAUAGGUAUUGGAAAUUGGAAUUUAAAUUUAUAAUAAUAUUAACACAUUUUUCU